rnacentral:rRNA from 1 species
GUGGGGAAUUUUGGACAAUGGGCGCAAGCCUGAUCCAGCAAUGCCGCGUGCAGGAAGAAGGCCUUCGGGUUGUAAACUGCUUUUGACGGUGAAGAACCGACAGGAUGCGUCCUGUUUUGACGGUAGCCGUUGAAUAAGCACCGGCUAACUCCGUGCCAGCAGCCGCGGUAAUACGGAGGGUGCGAGCGUUGUCCGGAUUUAUUGGGUUUAAAGGGUGCGUAGGCUGGAAGGUCAGUCAGCGGUGAAAAGCUAUCGCUUAACGAUAGUCUUGCCGCAGAUACUUCCUUUCUUGGAUGAGGAGGAGGCCACUGGAACGGAUGGUGUAGCGGUGAAAUGCAUAGAUAUCAUCCAGAACACCGAUUGCGAAGGCAGGUGGCUGUACCUUAAUCGACGCUGAUGCACGAAAGCAUGGGGAGCAAACAGGAUUAGAUACCCGGGUAGUCC